CGGAUCAGGGACCCGUGGCUGGUCAGGCGGCCUAUGGAGUCGUCGGUCGUUUCUCCUGCAACCCGAUCGAAGCCGGUCGCUUCGU
rnacentral:tRNA from 1 species